rnacentral:rRNA from 1 species
GACGAACGCUGGCGGCGUGCUUAACACAUGCAAGUCGAACGGAAAGGCCCUGCUUUUGUGGGGUGCUCGAGUGGCGAACGGGUGAGUAACACGUGAGUAACCUGCCCUUGACUUUGGGAUAACUUCAGGAAACUGGGGCUAAUACCGGAUAGGGGCUCCUGCUGCAUGGUGGGGGCUGGAAAGUUUCGGCGGUUGGGGAUGGACUCGCGGCUUAUCAGCUUGUUGGUGGGGUAGUGGCUUACCAAGGCUUUGACGGGUAGCCGGCCUGAGAGGGUGACCGGCCACAUUGGGACUGAGAUACGGCCCAGACUCCUACGGGAGGCAGCAGUGGGGAAUAUUGCACAAUGGGCGGAAGCCUGAUGCAGCAACGCCGCGUGCGGGAUGACGGCCUUCGGGUUGUAAACCGCUUUCGCCUGUGACGAAGCGUGAGUGACGGUAAUGGGUAAAGAAGCACCGGCUAACUACGUG